rnacentral:misc_RNA from 1 species
GAUGAAGAACGCAGCGAAAUGCGAUAAGUAAUGUGAAUUGCAGAAUUCAGUGAAUCAUCGAAUCUUUGAACGCACAUUGCGCCCGCCAGUAUUCUGGCGGGCAUGCCUGUUCGAGCGUCAUUACAAACCUCAGGCCCCCGGGCCUGGCGUUGGGGAUCGGCGGAAGCCCCCUGCGGGCACAACGCCGUCCCCCAAAUACAGUGGCGGUCCCGCCGCAGCUUCCAUUGCGUAGUAGCUAACACCUCGCAACUGGAGAGCGGCGCGGCCACGCCGUAAAACACCCAACUUCUGAAUGUUGACCUCGAAUCAGGUAGGAAUACCCGCUGAACUUAAGCAUAUCAAUAAGCGGAGGA